rnacentral:rRNA from 1 species
UACGUAGGGUGCAAGCGUUAAUCGGAAUUACUGGGCGUAAAGCGUGCGCAGGCGGUUUUGCAAGACAGAUGUGAAAUCCCCGGGCUCAACCUGGGAACUGCAUUUGUGACUGCACGGCUAGAGUGUGUCAGAGGGGGGUAGAAUUCCACGUGUAGCAGUGAAAUGCGUAGAUAUGUGGAGGAAUACCGAUGGCGAAGGCAGCCCCCUGGGAUAACACUGACGCUCAUGCACGAAAGCGUGGGGAGCAAACAGG